GUGACUGGUUCUUCUUCUCUGGCGAGGGUACUGGCGGUUAGGGUUCGGGGUCGGAUGUGGGUGAGAUUAUUUAUAACCUUCCCCUUUUAAUCUCAGCCGUACAUCGCGAUUUAAUCUGGGUCAUCUGAUCGCGAUUAAAAUAGGAAUAAAUUUGGGCUGUCCAUCGCGAUGCGAUCUGGGCCGUCCGUGCGUGAUUCAAUCU
rnacentral:lncRNA from 1 species